AUGGCUCCUCAUCCUGGCCAGUGCCAGAGGGUGCUCCAUAAUAUUUCAGAAGUGCCCCUAAAUGUACAUGUUUUUAUAUAUUUUUUUAUUUCACCUUUAUUUAACCAGGUAGGUUAGUAGAGAACACCUUUAUUUAACCAGGUAGACUAGUUGAGAACACCUUUAUUUAACCAGGUAGACUAGUUGAGAACACCUUUAUUUAACCAGGUAGGCUAGUAGAGAACACCUUUAUUUAACCAGGUAGGCUAGUAGAGAACACCUUUAUUUAACCAGGUAGACUAGUUGAGAACACCUUUAUUUAACCAGGUAGGCUAGUAGAGAACACCUUUAUUUAACCAGGUAGACUAGUAGAGAACACCUUUAUUUAACCAGGUAGACUAGUUGAGAACACCUUUAUUUAACCAGGUAGGCUAGUAGAGAACACCUUUAUUUAACCAGGUAGGCUAGUUGAGAACACCUUUAUUUAACCAGGUAGACUAGUUGAGAACACCUUUAUUUAACCAGGUAGACUAGUUGAGAACACCUUUAUUUAACCAGGUAGACUAGUUGAGAACACCUUUAUUUAACCAGGUAGACUAGUUGAGAACACCUUUAUUUAACCAGGUAGACUAGUUGAGAACACCUUUAUUUAACCAGGUAGACUAGUAGAGAACACCUUUAUUUAACCAGGUAGACUAGUAGAGAACACCUUUAUUUAACCAGGUAGACUAGUUGAGAACACCUUUAUUUAACCAGGUAGGCUAGUAGAGAACACCUUUAUUUAACCAGGUAGGCUAGUAGAGAACACCUUUAUUUAACCAGGUAGGCUAGUUGAGAACACCUUUAUUUAACCAGGUAGGCUAGUAGAGAACACCUUUAUUUAACCAGGUAGACUAGUAGAGAACACCUUUAUUUAACCAGGUAGACUAGUUGAGAACACCUUUAUUUAACCAGGUAGACUAGUAGAGAACAAGUUCUCAUUUGCAACUGCGACCUGGCCAAGAUAAAGCAUAGCAGUGUGAACAGACAACACAGAGUUACACAUGGAGUAAACAAUAAACAAGUCAAUAACACAGUAGAAAAAACGAGUCUAUAUACAUUGUGUGCAAAAGGCAGGAGGUAGGUGAAUAAUUACAAUUUUGCAGAUUAACACGAGUGAUAAAUGAUCAGAUGGUCAUGUGCAGGUAGAGAUAUUGGUGUGCAAAAGAGCAGAAAAGUAAAUAAAUAAAAACAGUAUGGGGAUGAGGUAGGUGAAAAUGGGUGGGCUAUUUACCGAUAGACUAUGUACAGCUGCAGCGAUCGGUUAGCUGCUCGGAUAGCUGAUGUUUGAAGUUGGUGAGGGAGAUAAAAGUCUCCAACUUCAGCGAUUUUUGCAAUUCGUUCCAGUCACAGGCAGCAGAGUACUGGAACGAAAGGCAGCCAAAUGAGGUGUUGGCUUUAGGGAUGAUCAGUGAGAUACACCUAAUAAUAAUAAAUAAUAAUAAUAUUCAUAUAUACACCUGAUCAGUGAGAUACAUCUGCUGGGUAUUGAAAUACAGUUUAUGAGUCUGACACUCUAAAUACAUUUGUUGCACAAUUAAAUAUAGA